rnacentral:rRNA from 1 species
GACGAACGCUGGCGGCGUGCUUAACACAUGCAAGUCGAACGGAAAGGCCCUGCUUUUGUGGGGUGCUCGAGUGGCGAACGGGUGAGUAACACGUGAGUAACCUGCCCUUGACUUUGGGAUAACUUCAGGAAACUGGGGCUAAUACCGGAUAGGAGCUCCUGCUGCAUGGUGGGGGUUGGAAAGUUUCGGCGGUUGGGGAUGGACUCGCGGCUUAUCAGCUUGUUGGUGGGGUAGUGGCUUACCAAGGCUUUGACGGGUAGCCGGCCUGAGAGGGUGACCGGCCACAUUGGGACUGAGAUACGGCCCAGACUCCUACGAGAGGCAGCAGUGGGGAAUAUUGCACAAUGGGCGGAAGCCUGAUGCAGCAACGCCGCGUGCGGGAUGACGGCCUUCGGGUUGUAAACCGCUUUCGCCUGUGACGAAGCGUGAGUGACGGUAAUGGGUAAAGAAGCACCGGCUAACUACGUGCCAGCAGCCGCGGUGAUACGUAGGGUGCGAGCGUUGUCCGGAUUUAUUGGGCGUAAAGGGCUCGUAGGUGGUUGAUCGCGUCGGAAGUGUAAUCUUGGGGCUUAACCCUGAGCGUGCUUUCGAUACGGGUUGACUUGAGGAAGGUAGGGGAGAAUGGAAUUCCUGGUGGAGCGGUGGAAUGCGCAGAUAUCAGGAGGAACACCAGUGGCGAAGGCGGUUCUCUGGGCCUUUCCUGACGCUGAGGAGCGAAAGCGUGGGGAGCGAACAGGCUUAGAUACCCUGGUAGUCCACGCUGUAAACGGUGGGUACUAGGUGUGGGGUCCAUUCCACGGGUUCCGUGCCGUAGCUAACGCUUUAAGUACCCCGCCUGGGGAGUACGGCCGCAAGGCUAAAACUCAAAGGAAUUGACGGGGCCCCGCACAAGCGGCGGAGCAUGCGGAUUAAUUCGAUGCAACGCGUAGAACCUUACCUGGGUUUGACAUGGAUCGGGAGUGCUCAGAGAUGGGUGUGCCUCUUUUGGGGUCGGUUCACAGGUGGUGCAUGGCUGUCGUCAGCUCGUGUCGUGAGAUGUUGGGUUAAGUCCCGCAACGAGCGCAACCCUUGUUCACUGUUGCCAGCACGUUAUGGUGGGGACUCAGUGGAGACCGCCGGGGUCAACUCGGAGGAAGGUGGGGAUGACGUCAAGUCAUCAUGCCCCUUAUGUCCAGGGCUUCACGCAUGCUACAAUGGCUGGUACAGAGAGUGGCGAGCCUGUGAGGGUGAGCGAAUCUCGGAAAGCCGGUCUCAGUUCGGAUUGGGGUCUGCAACUCGACCUCAUGAAGUCGGAGUCGCUAGUAAUCGCAGAUCAGCAACGCUGCGGUGAAUACGUUCCCGGG